UACGUAGGGUGCAAGCGUUGUCCGGAAUUAUUGGGCGUAAAGAGCUCGUAGGCGGUUUGUCGCGUCGAAUGUGAAAACCCGGGGGCUCAACCCCGGGCCUGCAUUCGAUACGGGCAGACUAGAGUUCGGUAGGGGAGUCUGGAAUUCCUGGUGUAGCGGUGAAAUGCGCAGGAUAUCAGGAGGAACACCGGUGGGCGAAGGCGGUUCUCGUGGGCCUUACCUGACGCUGAGGAGCGAAAGUGUGGGGAGCGAACAGG
rnacentral:rRNA from 1 species